GACGAACGCUGGCGGCGUGCCUAAUACAUGCAAGUCGAACGCAGUGGGGACGGGUGAGUAACACGUGGGUAACCUCCCAUCAGAGGGGAUAACACUUGGAAACAGGUGCUAAACCGAUAUUGAUUGCUUGUCCGGCGUUGCAUUAGCUAGUUGGUGAGGUAACGGCUCACCAAGGCCACGAUGCAUAGCCCACCUGAGAUGGUGAUCGGCCACACUUGGACUGAGACACGGCCCAUACUCCUACGGGAGGCCGCAGUAGGGAAUCUUCGGCAAUGGACGAAAGUCUGACCGAGCAACGCCGCGUGAGUGAAGAAGGUUUUCGGAUCGUAAAACUCUGUUGUUAGAGAAGCGGGAGCUAAAAAGAAAGCCACGGCUAACUACGUGCCAGCAGCCGCGGGAAUAC
rnacentral:rRNA from 1 species